AUGGCCCGGGCGGCGGCGGCGGCAUGCGGCUCCUGUUCCUGGCGGUGCUGCGGCCACACACCGGCAACGCGGUCACGGCCCAGCGCGUUCGGGCCCAUCUAGAGGCUGCAGGGCACGUGUGCGUUUUGAAGGAUGCCUUUGACUUUGAAAGCCGAUCUGAGAUUGCAAACCUCAUCUUGGCUGAGAACUGCGAGGCUGCCCUGGCUCUUCAUCUCUAUAGGGGAGGCAGGCUUUUGCAAGGUAAUACAUGAAAAAUUGCCCCGGUGUAAAAUGUAACUGAGUGGUAUAGUAUGAAAAGUAAGCCUGUCUCCCACCUCUUAUCCCCACUGUAUUAUUUCUCAUUUCCAGAGGUAACCACAGUUAACAUUUUCUUGUGGAUAUUCUCCUAGAAAUAUAUGUACUGUAUUGAUUAUCUAUUAUUACAUAACAAAUUACCCCCUGCCCCAACUUAGUUGCUUAUCGCAGUACAUUUGUUAUCUAAUGGUUCCUGUGGGCAUUCAAAAGCAGCUUAGCUGGGUGGUCUGUCUCAGGGUUUCCCAUGAGGCUGCAGUCUUAUCUGGUGGCUUGACUGGGGCUUGCUGAUGUGCAUCCAUUAUAGUGCACUCACAAGGCCGUUGGUGGGAGGUCUCAGUUCCUUACCACAUGGUCCUCUCCAUGGCCCUCUUGAGUGUCCUCACGAUGUGAUGGCCAGCUUCUCCCUGAGAGAACCAUCAAAAGAAAAGCAAGUUGGAAUUUGCCUUAUUUUUCAUGACCCAGGCUCAGAAGUCAAUACAACAUGAAUCCCACAAUAUCCUUCUGAUUACACAGGUCAGCACUAUUCAGUGUGAGAGGGCACUACACAGAGCAUGCAUAUGAGGAGGUUCAUGUACACCCAUGCAUGUAUUUAUAUGUACCUCCUCCCCCAUCUUAAACACACACACACAAAUGGAAGCCCACCGCUGAAUAUAUAUUCAGCAUCUUCCUUUUCACCGCUCAGCCACACAUCUGGGAACUUUCUCCCAUAGUGGCACAUACAUAGAUCUGUCUCAUCCAUUGUGCAGAGGUGCCAUCAUUUAAAGUCUUCAAUAAAUAAAUGUUUACAUUGUCUUUAAUUUUUCUAUUUCACCUUUUAGAAUGCUUGUCUCUGUACAGACAUCAUAGCAUACCAACUUGGGAGAAUAUAUUUGUGCUUCCAUAUUUUUGCAUCCGUGCCUGAACAAUCUAAAUGAACUGUUUUCUGUAUAUGCGGAGAGUGUUUCUGAAAGUAUUAUUUCUAGAGAGUUAUUUUCUGCUGAACAAGUAUAUGACUUUGAAUUUUUUUUUUCUUUUUUUUUGACACAGGGUCUCACUCUGUUACCCAGGCUGGAGUGCAGUGAUACAAUCUUGGCUCACUGCAACCUCCAUUUCAUGGGCUGAAAUAACCCUCCCACCUCAGCCUCCCAAGUACAGGCAUGUGGGACUGCAGGCAUGUGCCACCAUGCCCGGCUAUUUUUUUGGUAUAUUUUUAGAGACAAGGUCUUGCCAUGUUGCCCAGGCUGGUCUUGAACUCCUGGACUCAACCAAUCCACCCACCUUGGCCUCCUAAAGUGCUGAGAUUAAAGGCAUGAGCCACUGCACCCAGCCUUGAAUUCAGUUUUAAGUGUAGUGAAACACAGUCUGAGCUUUGUCUCUGAAUGUGAAAGAAGUGUAGAGUUUAACUUUCCUUAUAGGCCAAGAUGAAGUUCGGAAUCCCUGAUAGCUCAGUAGGAACCUUUGUAAGGUUGUCACUGACUGUUGCAACUCUUUCAUGCAGUCACAAAGCCUCAGCCCUGAGUUUAGUGAUUCUGUUGACAGUGAGUUGUGUUGUUUUCUUUUCUUUUUUUCUUCAGCUUUUAAGUUCAGCAGUACAUGUGCAGGAUGUGCAGAUUUGUUACAUAGGUAAACGUGUGCCAUGGUGGUUUGCUGUACAGAUCAUCCCAUCACUUAGGUAUUAAGACCAGAAUCCAUUAGCUAUUCUUCCUGAUGUUCUCCCUCUUCCCC
rnacentral:lncRNA from 1 species